rnacentral:rRNA from 1 species
UACGUAGGGGGCAAGCGUUGUCCGGAAUUAUUGGGCGUAAAGAGCGUGUAGGCGGUCCGGUAAGUCGGCUGUGAAAGUCCAGGGCUCAACCCUGGGAUGCCGGUCGAUACUGCCGGACUAGAGUUCGGAAGAGGCGAGUGGAAUUCCCGGUGUAGCGGUGAAAUGCGCAGAUAUCGGGAGGAACACCUAUGGCGAAGGCAGCUCGCUGGGACGUUACUGACGCUGGAGACGCGAAAGCGUCGGGGAGCAAACAGG